AGUCUCGCGUGGUGGACGAACGGAACCUCCUGAACUGGUGGGUCGGCGGUGAUGGAGCGGUUUUCAUAUCCAGGUUGUUCCUAGAGAUAUAAGACAUCGGUUGCCAUGGCUUCCUGACGAC